CAGCCGCCGCGGUAAUACAGAGGGUGCGAGCGUUAAUCGGAUUUACUGGGCGUAAAGCGUGCGUAGGCGGCUUCUUAAGUCGGAUGUGAAAUCCCCGGGCUCAACCUGGGAAUGGCAGUGGAUACUGGCAAGCUAGAGUGUGUCAGAGGAUGGUGGAAUUCCCGGUGUAGCGGUGAAAUGCGUAGAGAUCGGGAGGAACAUCAGUGGCGAAGGCGGCCAUCUGGGACAACACUGACGCUGAGGCACGAAAGCGUGGGGAGCAAACAGGAUUAGAUACCCCCGUAGUCCCUGUCUCUUAUAC
rnacentral:rRNA from 1 species